AUUGAACGCUGGCGGCAGGCCUAACACAUGCAAGUCGAGCAGAUGAAGGGAGCUUGCUCCUGGAUUCAGCGGCGGACGGGUGAGUAAUGCCUAGGAAUCUGCCUGGUAGUGGGGGAUAACGUCCGGAAACGGGCGCUAAUACCGCAUACGUCCUGAGGGAGAAAGUGGGGGAUCUUCGGACCUCACGCUAUCAGAUGAGCCUAGGUCGGAUUAGCUAGUUGGUGGGGUAAAGGCCUACCAAGGCGACGAUCCGUAACUGGUCUGAGAGGAUGAUCAGUCACACUGGAACUGAGACACGGUCCAGACUCCUACGGGAGGCAGCAGUGGGGAAUAUUGGACAAUGGGCGAAAGCCUGAUCCAGCCAUGCCGCGUGUGUGAAGAAGGUCCUCGGAUUGUAAAGCACUUUAAGUUGGGAGGAAGGGCAGUAAGUUAAUACCUUGCUGUUUUGACGUUACCAACAGAAUAAGCACCGGCUAACUUCGUG
rnacentral:rRNA from 1 species